AAAUGGUUUUGUGUGAUGGAAUGAACGAGACAAAGCACUCUCCUCUCCUUCGCUGGCAGGGAAGACAGUCGGUUUCUGAGUGGAGCUGACACUUCUAUUCAUGACUUCAAUUGAGAGAUGAGUUUCAAGCCACCUUUCAAGGAAUCCUGGGUAGAAUGAAAUCUGUUCCAUGGAAUCUUAAGAAGAAGAAGAAAAAAAAUCAAGAUCCCUGUGGGCAAAGUCAUUUGCUGUCAUGCUUGGAAGGAGUAGAACCAAGUGUUUAUGAGCAUGGACUUUGGAGUCAGGAUACUCUCCUGAUAUACCACGAUGCAGAAUGUCAAGUAGGAAAAGAAGCUGUUGCAUUGGGCAAUUAAGAAGUCAUUGGUGAGAGAAGUUUCAGUCUGAAGUGGAAUCAUAGUAAAUUACAGAAAAAUAGUCUUUGGAGAGAGAAGGAAUCUGGUUAAUCCACAGGCCACACAAUCAUGGUUGAAAAUUAGUGAAUGAGCGAAUGAUGGAUCCAUCUCUUGAAGCAAUACUUGAAUCGCAGAAUUCUUAUAUUGAUAGAAGCAGAAGGAAACCAGAAGUGCUCCAAUUAAAGGCCUCCAUUUUUCAGAUCAGCAGACUAUGAGCCAUGCAUAGGAUCACACACAGCUCUUUUAAAAAUUAUGAGCCACUCAGCCUCGGCCUCCG
rnacentral:lncRNA from 1 species